rnacentral:rRNA from 1 species
AAGUUUGAAUUUUACUUUUAAGUGAGAAGGCUUAAAUUUUUUAGAGGGACGAUAAGACCCUAUAAAGCUUUACAUUGUAGUUUUAUUUAAUUAAAUUUAAAAUAAAAGUUUAAUAUAGGUAUAUGUUUUAUUGGGGAGAUAGAAGUAUAAAUAAUGUUAACUGCUUUAAUAAGAGACAUUAAUUUAUGUAAUAAUAAUUUAAGAGAUCUUGGAUGAAUAUAGAAAGAAAGAAUAAGUUACUUUAGGGAUAACAGUGUAAUUUUUUUUGAGAGUUCAUAUCGAAAAAAAAGUUUGCAACCUCGAUGUUGAAUUAAAAUAUCUUUAUAAUGCAGCUGUUAUAUAAGGAGGUCUGUUCGACCUUU